CUAGUGGCUGCUCCAGUGAGGAAUAUUGCACAAUGGGGGGAACCCUGAUGCAGCAACGCCGCGUGGAGGAUGACGCAUUUCGGUGUGUAAACUCCUUUUAUAUGUCAAGAAAAUGACGGUAGCAUAUGAAUAAGCACCGGCUAACUCCGUGCCAGCAGCCGCGGUAAUACGGAGGGUGCAAGCGUUACUCGGAAUCACUGGGCGUAAAGGACGCGUAGGCGGGUUGGAAAGUCAGGUGUGAAAUCCUACAGCUUAACUGUAGAACUGCACUUGAAACUUCUAAUCUAGAGUAUGGGAGGGGGAGAUGGAAUUAGUGGUGUAGGGGUAAAAUCCGUAGAUAUCACUAGGAAUACCUAAAGCGAAGGCGAUCUCCUGGAACAUUACUGACGCUAAGGCGUGAAAGCGUGGGGAGCAAACAGGAUUAGAUACCCCCGUAGUC
rnacentral:rRNA from 1 species